GCCUGGGUGGCUCAGUUGGUUGAGCUUCUGACUUUGGCUCAGGUCAUGAUCUCCCACUCCGUGGGUUCGAGCCCCACAUCAGGCU
rnacentral:tRNA from 1 species